rnacentral:lncRNA from 1 species
UUUUUUUUCUUUUUUUUUUUUUUUUUUUGAUACGGAGUCUCGCUCUGUCACCCAGGCUGGAGUGCAGUGGCCGGCUCUCAGCUCACUGCAAGCUCUGCCUCCCGGGUUCACGCCAUUCUCCUGCCUCAGCCUCCCGAGAAGCUGGGAUUACAGGCGCCCGCCAACUCACCCAGCUAGUUUUUUGUAGUUUUUAGUAGAGACGGGGUUUCACCGUGUUAGCCAGGAUGGUCUCGAUCUCCUGACCUCGUGAUCCACCCGUCUCGGCCUCCCAAAGUGCUGGGAUUACAGGCUUAAGCCACCGCGCCCGGCCCCCCUUUUUUUUCUUAGACGGAGUUUCACUCUUGUCGCCCAGGCUGGAGUGCCAUGGCCGGAUCUCAGCUCACUACAGUCUCCGCCUCCUGGGUUCAAGCGAUUCUCCUGCCUCAGCCUCUCGAGUAGCUGGGACUACAGGAGGCUGAGGAGGUUGAAUCAACUGAGCCUAGGAAUUUGAGGGUGCAGUGAGCCAAGAUCGCACUCCAGCCUGGGCAAGAGCGAGACCUUGCCUCAAAAAAUAGAAUAUACUGCAAGAUAGAAAAGGGCCACUUCAUGUUCACAAUAAAGACAGACUUGAUGAGUGCGAAUCACGUGGGCUUCAAAGUGUGUAAAGCUUAAAACAGCUAAAAAUAUAGGAAAAUUUAAAAACAGUGGUAAGAGACUUGAACCUCUUCACCUGUAUCACUUGUGUUCAUAACUUAAGCAACUUUUAAGCAGAAAGGAUCACGGGAGCCACAGAACUGAGAGAAGCCAGGAUCCUUUGCAGAGCACCAAUGAGGAGAAAAGGCAGACAACUUGGAUGUGUCCCAAACUGAUAACCUACAAAGGUAAGAUCAGUCAUUGGGCAGGGACACAGACUGGCAGUAGCUUGUGGCCUGAGCCUCGGUGGGAUGGAGCCCUCUGGUUCACAGGCUCUAGUCGAUCUGCUCACAGGGCAUUCCUAAGCCAAUCCUGCCCUGUGGUAGUGGUAAAUACUAAAGCAGGCCAAGCAUGCAGCUUCUCAGUCACCUUCAC